rnacentral:rRNA from 1 species
UACGUAGGGUGCGAGCGUUUAAUCGGAAUUACUGGGCGUAAAGCGUGCGCAGGCGGUUUUGUAAGCCAGAUGUGAAAUCCCCGGGCUUAACCUGGGAAUGGCAUUUGGGACUGCAAGGCUUGAGUGCGGCAGAGGAGACUGGAAUUCCUGGUGUAGCAGUGAAAUGCGUAGAUAUCAGGAGGAGCACCGAUGGCGAAGGCAGGUCUCUGGGCUGACACUGACGCUCAUGACACGAAAGCGUGGGGAGCAAACGAGG